rnacentral:rRNA from 1 species
UACGUAUGGUGCAAGCGUUAUCCGGAUUUACUGGGUGUAAAGGGAGCGCAGGCGGCGCGUUAAGCCUGGUGUGAAAGCCCGCGGCCCAACCGCGGGACUGCAUUGGGAACUGGCGCGCUGGAGUGCCGGAGGGGUAGGCGGAAUUCCUAGUGUAGCGGUGAAAUGCGUAGAUAUUACACAGAACACCGAUUGCGAAGGCAGCUUGCUAGGCCGGAUCUGACACUGAUGCACGAAAGCGUGGGGAUCGAACAGG